rnacentral:rRNA from 1 species
UACGUAGGGUGCGAGCGUUAAUCGGAAUUACUGGGCGUAAAGCGUGCGCAGGCGGUUUUGUAAGCCAGAUGUGAAAUCCCCGGGCUUAACCUGGGAAUGGCAUUUGGGACUGCAAGGCUGGAGUUUGGCAGAGGAGACUGGAAUUCCUGGUGUAGCAGUGAAAUGCGUAGAGAUGCGGAGGAACACCGAUGGCGAAGGCAGCCCCCUGGGCUAACACUGACGCUCAGGCACGAAAGCGUGGGGAGCAAACAGG